rnacentral:tRNA from 1 species
GGAGGAGUGGCAGAGCGGUUGAUUGCAACGGUCUUGAAAACCGUCGUACCGAGAGGUACCGGGGGUUCGAAUCCCUCCUCCUCCG